GGAAGGAGCGGCCGCGCCCGCCCGCCCCGCGGCCCGCCCGCAGCGCCCCCGCGCGGCGAGCCCGGCGGCGGCGGUUCCCAUGGAGAUGGAAGAUGGCGCCCAGGGGCCGCCAUCGCUCCUCGGCUCCGCUGCAGGUCCUGCUCUUCCUCAACGGCUGGUACUGCGCCACGUAUUUUCUCCUGGAAGCGUUCGUGUUCGUGUACAAAGCGCUGCUCCUGCCCUAUCCCGUCUCCAACUUGGUGCUGGACGUGGUGCUGCUCCUCCUCUACCUCGGCAUUGAGGCCACACGCAUCUUCUUCGGCUCCAAGGGGAACCUGUGCCAGCGGAAGGUGCCGCUGUCCCUCAGCCUGGCGCUUACAGUGCCGGCGGCUGUGCUGGCUGUGUACUACCUGCUGCUCCAGACAUAUUCCCUGCGCCUGGAAGCGUUCCUGAGCGCCAUCCUGCUCCUCUUCUACGGCCUGGAGCUGCUCCUGGGCUUCCUGGCGCUGCUCUCCUUCUCCAGCACGGAUCCCUACUGAGGACUCGGCCCAGGAACACAGGGAAGCAUCACCCGUGCCAGCUCCACUUCCCAGCCCCGGGAAUGGGGAGGAUCCCACCCUUCCCACUGCCCAUUUCAUCUGGUGCCACCUGGACACAUCCCUCCCAUUUUUCCUACUUCCCACUUCACCAGGGACCUGCUGCCACCUGGAUUCAUUCCUCCCUUUUCCCACUUCCCACUUCACUCACUCCCCCCAGGACCUAUCCUUCCCACCUUUCUCACUCUCCAAUCCACUUGGACUCCUCAGAGCUUGCGCCAGCUCAAGGAAGGCAACAGGAGCGCUGUAUAAAAGACUGACAACGUCAUCUGAGUUUAUUACACAAUUCCAACCUAUCCAAAGACAAAUCUAAUCACUGCGAGCAGGAGGGGCGGCGCCUCGCUGGGGCUUCCAGGGAUUUGCUCUGCAAUUUGGGGGAGAAUCUUUUCCCCCCUCCACUAUUUGGAAAGAAACUAAAAAUCUGUGGCGGUAAGUAAAAAAAAAACCCGGAGCUCUCCUGCCAAGUGCUCCCACCUCGUGGGGCUUGGGAAAAUCGGGGUGGUUUCUCCUGAAUUUGGGUUAUUUCAACUUAAAAAGACUUCCAGGGCCUGGGUUUUUCCAUCCGAGUGUGAUUCCAGCCCUGGAAAUCACCCAGUGUGUCCUGGCUCAUCCGACCCUCCUGGGCUCUCCCUCCCUCUCCUUCUUGGGAUUCUGAGGGGACACGAGGGGGUCACAGCCUGCCCUGCCUCUUCCGCUUCCUCUAAAACAAGGAAGGCUCUGCGGGAGAGGCCGGAGCUGCCAUUUGGGUGGGAAUGCUGCUGUGGGGAAUGUCGGGAUAGACAGGAUGACCCCCAACCCAGCUCCAGCCCCUUUUUCCCAGCUCCUGGAGGGUGAAGGGGCAAAGGAGGAGCGUGGCACAGUGUCCCACCAGGGUGAUGGGGACGGGAGUGUCCCCAGACAAUCCAGAGGAUGGCACAUGGCUCCUGAUCCCAGGAUCGGGAGCUGUGCCUCUCUAAGCCCCCAAGCUGCACAGGGAGGGCUCCGUCUCCUCCGUUCCCCCCCGGACUGGGAAGGGCUCACAAACCUCCCUCCAUGGAAUAAAAGCACCAUUUCUCUUUG